UAUGUGACAAACAGAACGGCUACGUUUGAAGAAGUUUAUCAAAAAAAGGUAUAUUAAUAUACCUUUUUUUAAUAAACUUCUUCAAACGUAGCCGUUCUGUU
rnacentral:sRNA from 1 species